rnacentral:rRNA from 1 species
GUUUCGUUUAUUUGAAGGACCGACAUUAAUUAUAAUGUGAUAAACAGAGCUAAUACAUGCUAAAAAUCCCGACUUCGGAAGGGAUGUAUUUAUUAGAUUAAAAACCAAUGCCCUCUGGGCUCUUUGGUGAUUCAUGAUAACUUCUCGAAUCGCACGGCCUUGCGCCGGCGAUGGUUCAUUCAAAUUUCUUCCCUAUCAACUUUCGAUGUUUGGGUAUUGGCCAAACAUGGUUGCAACGGGUAACGGAGGGUUAGGGCUCGACCCCGGAGAAGGAGCCUGAGAAACGGCUACUACAUCCAAGGAAGGCAGCAGGCGCGCAAAUUACCCAAUCCCGACACGGGGAGGUAGUGACAAUAAAUACUGAUACAGGGCUCUUUUGGGUCUUGUAAUUGGAAUGAGUACAAUUUAAAUCCCUUAACGAGGAACAAUUGGAGGGCAAGUCUGGUGCCAGCAGCCGCGGUAAUUCCAGCUCCAAUAGCGUAUAUUAAAGUUGUUGUGGUUAAAAAGCUCGUAGUUGAACCUUGGGCCUGGCUGGCCGGUCCGCCUCACCGCGUGUACUGGUCCGGCCGGGCCUUUCCCUCUGUGGAACCUCAUGCCCUUCACUGGGUGUGACGGGGAAACAGGACUUUUACUUUGAAAAAAUUAGAGUGCUCCAGGCAGGCCUAUGCUCGAAUACAUUAGCAUGGAAUAAUGAAAUAGGACGUGUGGUUCUAUUUUGUUGGUUUCUAGGACCGCCGUAAUGAUUAAUAGGGACAGUCGGGGGCAUCAGUAUUCAAUUGUCAGAGGUGAAAUUCUUGGAUUUAUUGAAGACUAACUACUGCGAAAGCAUUUGCCAAGGAUGUUUUCAUUAAUCAGGAACG